rnacentral:rRNA from 1 species
UGGGGAAUAUUGCACAAUGGGCGCAAGCCUGAUGCAGCCAUGCCGCGUGUAUGAAGAAGGCCUUCGGGUUGUAAAGUACUUUCAGCGGGGAGGAAGGGAGUAAAGUUAAUACCUUUGCUCAUUGACGUUACCCGCAGAAGAAGCACCGGCUAACUCCGUGCCAGCAGCCGCGGUAAUACGGAGGGUGCAAGCGUUAAUCGGAAUUACUGGGCGUAAAGUGCACGCAGGCGGUUUGUUAAGUCAGAUGUGAAAUCCCCGGGCUCAACCUGGGAACUGCAUCUGAUACUGGCAAGCUUGAGUCUCGUAGAGGGUGGUAGAAUUCCAGGUGUAGCGAUGAAAUGCGUAGAGAUCUGGAGGAAUACCGGUGGCGAAGGCGGCCCCCUGGACGAAGACUGACGCUCAGGUGCGAAAGCGUGGGGAGCAAACAGG